AUAAAGGGAGCUGCAGGCUGCGUGGCUCGUUCUUUUACGUCGGGAAGCUGAGGUUUUUCCUAUGUCUGAACAAUGACGCCAUCGUUUUCUGGGUCUUCGAAGCAGUUGCAAAGAAAUGCCCAGAUGGAGGACAGAGGGCCAAACCACCCCAGUGAAUUCAUAACAGGAGAUAACUUGCUUAAGACCUGACUGUUUUUAAAAGGGCCAGUGACACAAGUGAGAAUUGGAUGUUAUGACCGUCCAGAAAAGACAAGAUGAGAAAGUGCAGUAUUGACUGUCUUCAAACGCACCUGUCCUUGCUCAAGUGCUGGGAUUGUGUGCCAACGGCUAUGAUAGAUAUGAAUAGAGCACGAGAUAAUGUGCUUACAGAAAGUUGGUUGAAUUGAAUGCAAUUAAUGUUUGGAGGCACUUAGUCUUCUAGUGUUUGAAUGUGGAUGGAAUUAAAGCUGGGUUUGUAGUGAGCCAUUAGGAUUAUGGCAAAUGUCUAGUGUACAGAAUUCAGUGUAGGCCGGGAGUUGAGACUGGUGUGUGUUUAGUGGAUUAUCUGAUCAGCACAUGUGUGACAGUGUUGAUCACAAGUCAUUGCCAGCUCUGUUCAUUUUCUUCCCUGGUCUAACUCAAUAAUUGCCAUCAUGAAAAUUCUGGGUGACUUUUGUGACUAAAGUCCCAUUGUAAGCCACAUUCUUUGUCCAGCAGUGCUCACUGACUGCUGAAAUAAAUGUUCAUUUGCAACAAC
rnacentral:ncRNA from 1 species